GUUGUGAUAGAUGAGUUGGUCGAUAGUAGGGAUUGGCUGGUAGUGGUUGAUGAUGGUGGUGGUGUUGACGGCGAUAGUAGCGUUAAAUAUAAUUAGAAUAGUAGAGGUAUUAGGUGUGGUAGCGGUUGACAAUAGUGGUUGAUUGCAAUAUUUGUUGUCGAUGGUGGUUGUGAUGGUGGAGGUGAUUGGUGGUGGUGGAUGGUGGUUGACAAUGAUGGCAGUGGCAAAGGUGGUGAUUGAUGAUUAUGAAUAGAGUGACGGUGAAAAUUAUCCAACACCAGAAUACCUCCUCAGACCUAUUAAAAUUUGAUUCUAUAUCUGAAUGAUUAAGACUUAUUCAGAGCUAUUAAUAGCUAAAAUCUUAAUAAAAAAAUAAAUACACUUAAUGGCCUGAAGUCUGAACCAUUCAGAUUCAGACCUCCAUUAAGUGCAAACAAAGUCUUUCUAAACUAAAAAAUGCAAUGCAUAACAGAUUCUUAGAAUAAUUAGGACUGAAUUUAUUUUUUAAGUGUUUAUACAAUAAACACACAAAUAUAGCAAUGAUGAAAAUAUAAAAGAAAGAAAAAAAAUUGGCAUUUAACCAGACAUGGAUGGGUUGAAUAUCAAGUUAUGUAUCAAUCUGAAUUCACACCUGCUUUUGUCUAUUAAGAAAUUAAAACACUUACUGCUAAGAGUUUAUUUAUUUUCAAGACUCGAACACGUUUUGUCCGAUUAAAUAUAUUUGGAUAGCAACUUGAAUUGGGUAGUGUCAUUGUCUGAGAAGAGAACAUUGGUGACAAAGUGAGAAAAUUAAUUAAUUAAUUAAUUACGUAUGGGACUAGGAGAGAGGUACCAAAGCUCGACAAUGAUUAAAUGUGUUGGAAAGGCAUAUGACAAUUUAACAAAUGUGAAGUACAGACACCAGCUAGCUUAGAAAAGAUUGGAGAAAAUAGUAGAUAUAUUGGAAUUGAAAUUUUGUAGUUGUAUAUGACUUUAGUACUUACCACAACUAUCUAACCUUUUGGAAUUUUGUGUUACGCGUUAAUUAUAACACACACAGCUAAUAAAUACACUUACAUACAGUACAUUGAUUAGAAAUAAACAAGUUAUUAAUAAAUUCUCCUUGAACUUUCAAAGAGAAUAACAUCACUAUUAGUAUUAGUUUUGUUGGUCAAUGCAAUCCCCAAAAGUACUGGCUGUUUGAACAAACAAGAACAUAGUAAAUAAAUUUUGGUGUGAUAGGAGAACAAGGUCAUUAGCUAGGGAGACUGGCUGCACCUCUAGUUUUGGUGGUCAAUGCACCAAAAAAGUAAAUUUGAAACAGUACCAUAUAUAACUCCUGGUAACUGUUUGGACCGUUAGAGUUUGUAAUCCGAAUUUUGUUGAUCCGGCCCUAAAAAAUUCGCGGUGCGACUCAUGUUUGAGAUUUUUUUUUUGGGGGGAGGGAGGGGGGGAGAGUUUCUGUAAUGGUAGCACAGGGAUCGGACAGAUAUGUUUUUAGGCUUAAGAUUUAUUUGUACGCACGUAUUAUAUAAGUGCAAUUUAGUGGGUUAUUUUUUUAUGUAUGUCAUUGAGACUUUCUUUUCCUCAUUGUAUUCCUCUCCAUUAUAGUGAAUUUCCUCCUCCUCUGCCCGUGAUUUUUCCCGUCAAGGGUUUCCAAGUAAAAUUUGUGUGUUCUUAUUAUUUUCUUUCGUUUUGUGGUAUUACUUUAUUCCUGUCUGUUUCAUUACAUGGACUUUAUCUAUUACAUGAACAAACGCAUAAUGGUAAACAACUCUUUGUCAUUUGGACUUUAUUUUUUGAGAAAACUUAGUGAAAGAUGCAUAUAAGCUAGAAAUUACUUGGUCAUUUCGACUUCUUAAUUUCCUCAUUGCAUUGAGUUUAAAAUCUAGUCAAUGUAAUUCAAUCAAAUACUUAAUAAACAUGUGUACAGUCAAAAACGAGACAAGGGGUAUGAAAACAAAAAUAAUGGAGAAAAUUAAUAAAUCAAAUAUUGACUGCACUAAUUUGUAGUCAAACCCCGCUCCCGCCCCCACCUUAGACCAAAACAAAAAAAAAUAAAAAUCAGUGGUCCUUGGGUUCUUUUAAAUAAGCGCCAAUUUAAUAAAGGCCAAAAACAAAAAGUAGCGCCAGUUUACAAUUUUGAACUGAAGUUUGUAGUAACCACUAACCAGUGAACUAAGUAUAAAAUGGUUGUUAAAAUUAAUAAAAUACCUUCUUUAGAGCACUUUAAUGAUAUACAUGAUUAGCAGUGGCGGACCCAGAAUUUAAGGGUAGUGGGUGCUUAAAAACCUUAAAGUCAACCUAAAUACUAAUACACCCAACCAACUUUUUAUUUAGUGGGUGCUUUUACAUAUUAUAUAUCUAUUUUCGUAUAUUUUUUACAUAAUUUUAUCUAUUCCGCAUUGAGUUUAGUGAAUGCCGGAACACCCCAUGUAGGUCCGCCCUGAUGAUUAGGUCAUCUACUAUAAGAAAGUGUUACUAAAUUUCAGUGUGGACGAGUAACUUUAAAGAGAUAACAGGUUAAAUUAUUGGUAAAAUGACCUUCUGAACUCCUGUACUAUGUUGGUUUUGUAAGUUAGACACUCUACUUACAUAUUUGUCAUCGGGACCCUUGAACCCAUUAAAAAACAACAUUUUGCAUCCUUUGAUCGUUGACCUUACUUAUGUGGCAUUGAAAUGGUGACUAGGACAAGGAGAGUGUAGUCACUCGCUUGGGGGUCCGAGUGGGGGUCAAUUUUAUAUUAAAACAAUUUAAAAAAUAAAAAAUAUUGAAAUUGAAAAAAAAAGAUCUUUUUUCUCCUCCAUCUUUUUAAUUUAAUUUUUUUAAAAAAAUAUAAAAAUAAUAUAUUUUUUUUAAAUCCUUCCUCAUUCCACCUCAGCCUGUCCCCACNNNNNNNNNNNNNNNNNNNNNNNNNNNNNNNNNNNNNNNNNNNNNNNNNNNNNNNNNNNNNNNNNNNNNNNNNNNNNNNNNNNNNNNNNNNNNNNNNNNNNNNNNNNNNNNNNNNNNNNNNNNNNNNNNNNNNNNNNNNNNNNNNNNNNNNNNNNNNNNNNNNNNNNNNNNNNNNNNNNNNNNNNNNNNNNNNNNNNNNNNNNNNNNNNNNNNNNNNNNNNNNNNNNNNNNNNNNNNNNNNNNNNNNNNNNNNNNNNNNNNNNNNNNNNNNNNNNNNNNNNNNNNNNNNNNNNNNNNNNNNNNNNNNNNNNNNNNNNNNNNNNNNNNNNNNNNNNNNNNNNNNNNNNNNNNNNNNNNNNNNNNNNNNNNNNNNNNNNNNNNNNNNNNNNNNNNNNNNNNNNNNNNNNNNNNNNNNNNNNNNNNNNNNNNNNNNNNNNNNNNNNNNNNNNNNNNNNNNNNNNNNNNNNNNNNNNNNNNNNNNNNNNNNNNNNNNNNNNNNNNNNNNNNNNNNNNNNNNNNNNNNNNNNNNNNNNNNNNNNNNGAAAAUUUAUCAUGUUUGUAUAUAUGAAUUUAUAGUUAAAAAUUUAAAUUAGUUGGAGAAGAAUUUUAAUUAUUUGGAAUGGAUUUGAUGUUUAAUUUGUGAGCAAAAAUAAAAAAAUGAUUAUUCAAAAUUUUCUACAAUUUAUAAAUUUUUCUUAUUUAAUUAAAUUAAUUUUAAUAUUUAAUUUGUUAUGUAGCAUUUUAAAAUGACUUGAAAUUUAAUAUAAUACUUUUUUUAAAUGACGUGGCAGAUGACAUGGCAAACGUGUCAGGCGUGGCAGACGUGGCAGCUGACGUGGGGGAGAGUGUGUUACACUCAUUAAAAAAAGAUUUAAAAUAUUAUUUUUUUAGUGGGUUCAGGGGUCCAGAUGACAAACAUGUAAGUAGAAGUGUACAACUUACAAAAUCGACAUAGUACAGGGAUUCAGAAGGUUAUUUUAUCUAAAUUAUUUAGUAACAGAUUAUUUCAUAAAGGCCUAAGAGUUUAUAUUGAAAAUUACUAGGGAUAAAAACUUUCGCAACGGUAAAAAUUUUACCUCAACAAUAGCUAGUAAAAAUAACUGACACAUGAGCUUAGAUGAGUAGCAGUUCUAGUCAGUGGUAUAAAAAAAAAAAAAAAAAGAAACGUAUGCACUAUGAAAAGGAACAAAACGAGCAUCAUUGCUAACUUGCAAAGCUUCGUACAAAAAAGAUGAACAUCCAUUUCAAGGGCGGCUUUGUCCAUUUGCCACUCAAAUGCAUGUCAGUGAACAAUGUGCCUCUUUCCUCUUGCUGAUUUUUUUGGAAGAAAUCUUUUUCGUAUAACAGUGACAUUUGUGUGAAUCUUAAUAAUUUAGUUGGUUGAUUAUUUACAGUUUCACCUUAUUGAUGAGAUUAAAUUCCUCAUAUUUUAAUUCUCUCCCCACUUUUCUUGCCCUUAAUUUUUGAAAAGAAAAAAAAAAUAGUUUUCAUGUACUUCGGUUAUCUUAUUACUCCUAUUAGUUAUUCCAUUUAAUUUGCUAUCUCCCAUCAGAUAAGCAUCUAGUCAUGCUGCUCACCCAGACUUAAAGCAAAUAAAGGAACUUGCACAUUUUAGUAAGAGUUUUUUUUGAAGAAAUAAUUGGACAUGAAAUAUCAUAUUCAAUUCAAGAAAUUAUGCAUUAGUUAAUGGAUUGUUCGGUGCAAUAAUGCUUUCACUAUGUGCAGCCUUACCGAAAGGAUCUAUUGUAUUGUAACCUGACAACAAUUUUACCAAUUAUAUCAAAGUUUUCCUUCAAAUUAAGCCUUUGUUAAUCAUUUAUUUGGAAAAAAAAAAAAGAAGGAAGGAACAUGAAAUAUCAGGAAUAUUUCGAGGCAAAUGAGUCGCUUCCAAAUAAAAACACGAUCGACAAAUAUUUAGGCAGAGCCAGGCUGUGAAACUGAGCUACUCUAUAAUUCGAUCAACAGAUAUAUUUAAGACUAUUAAAUGAAAACCCACAGAAAAAUUUUGAAAGCAUUAUCUGCCAAAUGCCAUAUGGCAGCAGCAUGAUGAUGAUCAUGUUCAUAGAAUUCGAGGGCAAUAAUGUCAUAUUGUGAGGUUGAACAAAAGAACUUUAAAGGCUUCUAGGAGGCAGCAUUGCCAGUACAUUAAUCCACUUUCUUGCAUUUUAUCUGACAAACUCCACAUGCCCAUGUAUCUAUUACAACUACUAGUGACUUGAAAAAGAGAGAUCCAUUCUCCAGACAUCUUACCCCCCUAACCCCCUCUCCCCCACCCAUCCUCGAAUCCUCCAUCAGAGUCCCACCUCUCUACUCAUUAUUUUGUCCACAUGAAAGUGUGUAGAAAAUGACCCACCUUCUUCGUAUCCACAUAACCAUCUUUUUAUGCAAACACAUAGUACUAUUUAUCUGUAUUUUUUCGCUAUUUACGUCAAAUUAAUAAAUAUAAAAUAUGCAUGUACUCUCUCCAUUUUCUCAUUAUAUGGGAAUAUACUGGGUUUGUUAUUGUUAUUGUAUGUACUACCUCCAUUUCAUUUAACUUAGCUUUAUAUUAACAAAAAAGUAUUUAAUAAGAGAGUUUUAUUACUUUUUUUUUAUAAUAUUUUAGUAUUAAAUAACUAUAUAAAGUAAUAAUAGUAGUCAAAUUUAAAAUUACAAAACAUCAUUAAUAAUGUUAGUUUAGUAAAAUACGCGGCUUUAGUUAAAAUUUUAAAAAGGUGUAUCAUAUCAACGCUUGCUAAGUAAUAUGAAAGGAAGGAAGUAUAUAUUAUAAUUCUCACUUCAAUUUAAGAUUAUUAACUUUAAAUUAUACUAUGAUUUAGUGUAAACAGAAUAAGUAACUAUGUAUUUCUCCCACUCUGCCCGCCAUCUUCUCUGUCAUUCAAAGCCAGCUACUAGCUGCAACCUCUAUAGUUUAUGUGUAUAUAUAUAUAUAUACUGCAUAUGCCACAUUCUUUGUUAACAUUUCCACAUUUCACACACAUACUCUCUCUCUCUUUCUCUCUCUCUUCCCUCUUAGGCAAGAAACAUUCUUACCAUUUUGUUCUGUGAAUAAAACAUCUGUUCUUGGGUUCUGGAGAUUAUUUCUGUUACUCUGCAGCUACAUAUUAUUCUCAAUCUCCCAGUACCACAUUUGUGCUAAGUUGCUCUGACUACAUUUCUCUGUCUGCCCCUGCAAGAAGCUUCUUUGUAGCACUGGUAAGCCCAACUUUGUCCUCUAGAAUAAUCAAUGAAUACAAUUCAAGGAAAGGAGUUAUCAAUUUUUGUUAAUGUGCUGAAUUAUUCUUGUUCAUAGGAAGUGCACAAGGCCAUAUGAUUUUUGCCAAUUUUGGACUUUGAGAAAGCAACAAAAAUGUCAGCAAGAAUGCUAUCUUCUAUAACAGAGGACAACAACAAGAAAACUGGAUGCAUGAAUGGGUUAUUCCAAUUGUUUGAUAGACACCACUUCCUCAUUGGCAAACAUCUACAUGGUCAAAAUCACAAAAGGCUGCUCACAGGUACUCUUUCUCACCAAAGGAAAAUAUAUUUUUCAGUAUUCAAUAGUCUUGCAAGUGAAUAAAUCAAUACCAUAAAGCUUCUCAUUUCUGUCAAUUUUGUUUUGUUCUCCUUCUAAGCUCCUUGUGCAGAACUAGUCUUGUCAAAACACUUUUUAGUAUAUUUUCUCUGACUAGGAUUAUUUUCUUGAAUAUUCAUAGUUUAUAAAAAAAAAUUAUGAUCUGUAUUCCUAGUGAAGUUUCUGAAUAUGAAACUUAUUUUUUCAGAAAUAAAAUAAUUAGCCCAAUCCUAUCAUUUUAUUGGUACGAGGGAAUAAUAUCUUAGAAUGGAAAUAAGUAAUGAGGGUGAAUUGGAGGACCUGGCUUCAAGAUGAGAUGAAAGGCAAUAGCAAACCACUGUUCAUGGAUAAUUAGCAAUAAUAGAGGGAAAAAUAAAAGAAAACCAUCAAAACAUUUUCAUUUUCAAGAUUAUAUAUAACAUUGGUUUAGAAGGGCUGGAAAUAUAAGAACCUCAUUAAGGAAUCAAUUAUGCAAAACUUGACUUUAUUUUGAAGUUUUAAAAAAACUAAGUUCACAAACUCAGCUUUUAUAGAAAAAAAAAAGACUGAAAACAAAUACUAAAUAAAACUAACAAUUAUUUCUUGCAUAAACUAAAAAGAAAUUUGCAAAUUCAAGUUUUGGAAUCAUCAAAUAAACGCCACCUUAACAUUCAGAAUUGACUGCUUAACAUUGGCAAUUAUCUUUAACAUAUGCUAACUACAAGUAUGAGCAUUCUGGUUCUUUUUGCCCUCUUGUAUCCUUUCAUACGCAUUUAACACAAUCGUGUGUUUUCGUAUCUAAAUAAAGAUAAACUACUUCCAAUUAAGUAGUAGAGCAUAUAAAAACUUGGAUUUUCUCCUGCUAAAGCAUAAUGAUGUGCUUGUGCAAACACAUUAUUAUCUAUAAAAGAACUCUCAUAAAUCAUAUAGUUAGUCCCUUUAGUUUAAUAAAAUUAGAAAGUCUCACCACUGGUUCUUGUGUCCUGAAGGUGCCACGGACAGGAUGGAGACCAAAUGUACAAUGCAAUCGGCUACGGUAAGAUUUUGAACAAAUUCAUUCAUCAAAAUAUCACUAAGCUAGCACACAAAACAAACUAAGCAAUAUGUGAUUGACAACUGCAGGAAAAGACUCCAAGGGAGGUAGCCAGGAACAAAGUGACACACUCAAGUGAGUCAUCAUCCAAGGCUAACUCAAAACUUGAACAAAGUAAAACACCACAACAAGAACAACCUUUUUGCAGUCAAAGAAACUUACCCGAAUCUCCCUCGAAAAUUCUGCCAUACAAGCAACCAAGUUCCCCAUCUCAUUCUGGCCGGCAAUCACCUGAUUUUCGGGAUGUGGUCAAGGACUCGAUGCACAGGGAAGCCCGUAGUUUGUCUGUAAAAACUGUCACCAAAGUAGAAGGUAAAGUCCACGUGAUGAAGCACAUAGAUUCUCCAAGGCCAAUUCAGCAGUCAAACUGUGGGAAGCCAUCUGAUGGAACAAGGCCAGUAACUGCAAAGUUUCGUGAAGCACCUCGCAAUUCAAAAGAUGAUCUAAAGCAUGCACCAAGAGAUCAUCCACGUUUCUCUUACGAUGAAAGAGACUCAAGAGAAGCGAUGCGUUCAUCAAUGAGGAUAAAAGACCUUCCUAGACUGUCACUGGACAGUAGAGAACAGUCCUUCAGGAGCUCUGCAUCUGAAUCCAGAUCAAAUUUUCUUUUAGGGGAUCAUAAAAGAUCUUCCAGCGUUGUAGCAAAGCUAAUGGGAUUGGAAGCUUUACCAAAUUCCAUUCCCUCAAAUGAAGUCGAGAAAGUGAUACCUAAGUCUUUCUCUGCCAAAGAUUCUGUUACGGUAUCAACAAAAACAGCUGAAAAGAGCAAGAAUAAUCAAGUCACACGGUUCCCACAGAGUAAUGAAAAGGAUUUUGGCUCCCCAAGAAUGAAAUCUACCAAUUCAAUCAUGAGAGCAUCAUCAACUUCAAGGCUUCCACUAGAACCUGCUCCCUGGAGGCAACCGGAGGCCAGCAGAACCUCCCACAAGUCGUCGGCAAGAAAUAUAGAUGUGGAACUGUCAAUUAAGAGUCCCAAUAUAUCUUCCUCUGUCUAUGGUGAAAUGGAGAAAAGGAUAACUGAACUUGAGUUCAGAAAGUCUGGAAAGGAUCUCAGAGCUCUGAAGCAGAUUCUUGAAGCAAUGCAGAAGACAAGAGCAAGGUUAGAGGUCCAAACACAAGAGCAGGCAGACUCUGAUGCGAACUUGGAAAUAGUGCAGAAAAGGCAGCAAUGCAACCUGCUAUCACCAACUAUUAAGGGAACUCGCCCACCAAAAAGGUCAGAAUCUUUAAAUAUAACUCCGAAACAAUCCAAAUUAAGUGCUAACAUUAGUAUUGCAUGUUAACCUUUCUUAACUGCAAACGUCUUAAAAUUUCAACAACUCUUCACUAAAUACGUUGUAUAUAACAGAGAGGAUACAGCUGACAAGAAAGCUUGGAAAGACGUGACACCUAGAGCGAAAAAUGUCAGAGAUUCUGGUUGGCAUCUUCAUUCACCAGACAGGAAGACCAAAGAAGGAACAUCAAGGGCAGUGCAAAAUUCAGCAUUACGUCAACAAAAGGAAGGAAGUUAUCCUGCAUUAGGAAGGAAUUCUGGAACUGUAAGUCCAAGAUCGCCUCAUAAGAAGAAGCAGUCUUUUCCGACCACAACAUCACCAGAAUUCAGCAAGGUUAGACGGCAAUCAAUUAAGCAAUCUAAAGAAUCAGGCUCUUCAAAAAGAAGACUGCAAGCAAAAGCCAACCAUCUGCUCCGAGUUGAUGAGGAAUUGAGUGAGAUCAGCAGUGGCACAAGAAAUUUCAGUGAGCAAAGUGAUGCAGCUUCUUUGCAAUCAGAAAGCAACAACAGCUUAAGCUCACAUACAGAGGGAGAAGUCACAAGCAGAAAUCUUUCCUUUAGUGUUAAUGCUAAAAGACUAGAGGACUCCAAAGACAAAGUGAGUGAUUUAUCUUCGUGUAUAUUAUCUAUUUAUCCUACACAUGACCAAUUACUGACUUCAGCUGUUUCCUGAUCCAGAGUGACAUGAUGAGACUCAAUGAAUACAGACCAAUGGCUGAGCAUGCAAUUGCUACAAUUGAACAACCUAGUCCUGUGUCAGUGCUUGAUGCCGCAUUCUAUGAAGAGGAUUCACCAUCUCCCGUGAAGAAGAAAGCGACUGCCUUUACAGGUAUGGAUACCAUUAGUUGCUAAACAUAAGGAAAAUCUAACUUACACCCCACCACCGACAACAAAAAUUGUACGCUUUUGCAAAUACACCUAGAAGUAUAAUGUAGGUGUUCAUAUACUUGUAAAGAUAAAUUAUCUCAUGAACUAGGAAAUGAGUGUUAAGGUCAGAGUAGAUUGAGAAAGGAUUACGUGAGAUCUAAAGUUAGGACAAGCUCCUACGACAGAGUAAUCUAGACGUUUAUCCAAGCAACUCACAAUUUGAAAGAAUUUGGGAAAUAGUUUGCUUGAUGUACCCAAAAUAUAGGAGAGAAAAGCCAAGCACAGCAGAAUUAUGUUACAAUUGAUUUUGAUGUACAAGCAGAAUUUGCCUAAUAAUAAUCUUUUUAUGUCCUUUCCAGUUGAGGAUGCUGCAGAUGAGUUAUGGUACCUAGAUUACCAGGAUCAUUCACCUUACAGCACGAGGGUAGAUCUUGGCGUUGAGACCACCAAACAGAAGAAACUAGAGCGCAUUAAGGACCUCGUUCACCAGCUCAGACUACUGAACUCCAACCACGAAGCAAAUACAGACCAGCUUGGAUCCUUGAGCCAGAAUCAUAAUCCUGACCACAGAUACAUCACUAAAAUACUACUGGCAUCUGGCCUUCUCAAGGACGUGGACUCCAUCACCUCGUCCAUUCAGCUUCAGUCAUCUGGCCAUAUGAUCGAUCCGAAGUUGUUUCAUAUCUUGGAACAGACUGAGGAUCGCGUUAUGCCAGAAAAUGGACACAGUAAAAAAGGUGCUUGGAUGGAGUUUAAUCAGAAAAUGCACAGAAAGAACUUCUUUGACACAGUCGAUGAGAUACUUUCCCGUAAACUAGCUUCAGGAAGCUGCUUAUUACAGGGACGAGAUCGUUUAACUGCACAGAAGCUCCAGAAGGAAUUAAAGUCAGACAUAGACCAACUCAAUGCUAAAAAGGUUAGCAUGGAGUCUGAAGAAGAUGAAUUGAUAAGUAUCCUAAAUGCUGAUUUGAGGCAGCAGUCAGACGAUUGGACAAAUGGUGAAAGUGAGAUUCCAUCGUUGAUUUUGGAUGUGGAACGAUUAAUAUAUAAAGACCUUAUUACAGAAAUAAUUAGUGAUGAGGCCAGAGAGCAGCAGAUAAGAAAAAGAAGGCAUUGCAGGCAACUGUUUACUAAUUAAAAGUUCGAGCUUAUGUGCUCCAUAUCUUUGUAAUAGAGUGCAGUCCUCUUCAUGUACAAAUUCAGUAUUAUAUGCUUGCAAAAGUGAGACAUAUAAGUAUCUCAAGUCAAAAUUCAAUCAGGCAAAUGGAAAGCAGAAAAAUAUGCUGUUUUAUUUGCAUAAAUAGACAUGGUUCUCUUUUUGCUUAUGUUCUUAAUCUUAUUAGCCAAAUUUCCGGGUACUCAACUAGCUAUUUCAUUUGAACAAAUAAAUAAGUUCUUUAGGCACCACAUUGUACAGCUGAAUUGGAAAAUCAAUUUUAUUAAUGAUGUGUUUAGGGCUACUUCCAAAAGUGGAAGAGUACAGCAAAUGCAAUUUCAAACAAAAUAUCAAAUAUAUAGUUGACCUUUGGAAUAAGUAACAUCUAACAUGCACUUACAUACCAAAAGCCCAAAAAAAAACAUGAAAGAAUGAGCACAUACGAGUACUUUUCCAGUUAUUUUCAAUACACUUUUUGAGUUUACACCAACUUGCCUUUACCUCAAGCUCCUCCCCACUCCUACCUGUGUAGUGACAGUCUUGUGUUGAAUUCAGCAUGAGUCCAUGGACCGUGAGAAAGAGAUGAAUUUUUCACAAAGUAUAGCGGGUUGCACUUGCAUCUAUUGUAUCGUAUGGCUGGGUACUACGGUUAAUUUCAAAUAUAGCAUAUGAACGCGUCAUAAAAUCUUGGUAUUACACAUUUUCGUUCCUCUCUUGAUAAACUGAAUUGAAAAAAUAUGGCACAAGUGAGAAACAACGAAAGCGGUAAUUAUUUUAUUUCCUUCAUCACGAUAUUUACUUGUGAAGGAGGGCCUUUAAAAUGUAGAAAGAUUUUUAUAUAUAAUUUAACUACAACUGAAUAUAGCUGAGCUUCCGUAGCAUAGUGGUAGUGCGUUCGCUUCGUAAGCGAAAGGUCGCGAGUUCGAUCCUCGCCGGGAGCUUAUUUUUUCUUUUGUGGUUAUGGAUCUUAAAUUGGGCCAAUUUUGUAGUGGGUCGUAUGGGCCGUUUUAAAAGGAGAUACUUUACGGGAAAAUUAACUAUAUAAACUUAUUAGAUUAGUUAUUAAAGCUAUAGCAAAAUUUUUAAGUUUUCAAGUUAUAGCAACUUUCAUUUAAAAAUAUAUAUAUAUAAAAAGUUUUUUUUUUUUGGUUGAAAAUACGAAAAAUUAAUUAAUGAAAAAGGAAAAUUAAGAUUUAAUACAAUUAAUAUACAAUUUACCUUCCUUAAAUAUAGUUAAACUUAAUUACUGAUCUUUGUCCGCCACCAAAUCCCUUUAACCGUUGUUUUUUCUGCUAUUUUAAUGCUUGCAUUAAGAGUUUCCAUCUUCAUACACUACUUUCCUCUUUGUACACGAUUAAUUUCUGUCAGUAAACAAAAAUAUAGUAAUUUCGACGUCAACAACUUCUAAGUAUUAUAAUUUGAAAGAAAAGCAAAAAUAAGUAUUUCUUUUGAUAACAAAUAUGAAUUUUGUUAAUUUGCAUUUAAUCAUGAUAUGUCAUGGAGGGAGAAGGAAUUAGUUAGGUUUGUUAUUUUUUUUUAUGAAAAUGGAUAUUUUUCAUUCAAAGUGAAUUUAAAGAUUUAUUUUUUUGUAUUUCUUCAAUUCUCUAUUUUUUUUUUGUAUUUCUUCAAUUCUCUAUUAUUACGUUCUUGAACUGAAAGGUCAAGUGCAAGCAGUUAAAAAUGAUUGUGUAUUUUUAGUGUAUUUAAUUGGAUAUUAUAUUUGUAUCUAAAUUGGGUAUUUGCUUUUUGAGUAUUAAUUUUAUUUUUUUUAAUUUAACAGUUACUAUUUAAUUUGUGUGGUGGGCAGGUGGGGGACUAUACUUUGUUUCUUCGUUCUUCGAGAAUUAACAAACCAAAGAUUUUUAAGAUAAGAAAGUAUUGUGACAUCCAUACAUGCUCAAUAAAAAAUUUUCAAGUAUUUUUGAUGAAAAGAAAUAGGGUGUUUUACAUGGAUCCGUUGCCUUCCCUAUGAUGCUCAAAAUUUUCACAAGGAGAUAAUAUUAUUUAACAACUUAGUAUGCCUUCAGUGGAAAAUAUAUAAAAAUAUAUAAAACAUUAAAAGGAGAAAUUUUGGAUAGACCUUUUAUUUGAAGAAAAAAAGGUUCAAGUUUCUUAUCAUGAUCUUUGAAUUGUUUGUUUCAUAUCUUAAUGCUUUUGUUAUUCAACUCCAGGUAUUAUGUAAAGAUGAUACCGAAAUUUUAGAUUUGUGCAAGAACAUGAUGAAACAAGGUGAAUGGACACAACCUAUGGUUGUUUUUUAUCCCAAAGAGGGGUAUGUACUUGAACGAACGUUGAAUUUUUACUAUGUAUGAUCAAUAUGGGAUGCUUUGUUUAUCUAUUUGUUUUUCAUUUUUCAGAUUUAUUGUUGAAGCAGAUGUGUUCAUAAGAGACUGGACAAUAAUUACAGAGUAUGUUGGAGAUGUUGAUUACUUGAAUAACCGUGAAGCUGAUGAUGGAGAUAGCACGAUGACUCUUUUAAGUACUAAUGAUACAUCAAAGGACCUCGUCAUUUGUCCUGAUAAGCGCAGUAAUAUUGCUCGUUUCAUCAAUAACAAGCAUUUGAAAUCGGGCAAUACAUGGUAUUUGCACAAAUACCAAUAACAUAAUAUCAAUAACAAACGAUGCUCAAUGAAUAAAGAUAAUGAAACGAGGUCUUGAAAGAUUAAUCGGACUAUUUUGUUGUAUAAUUUUAGGGCUUUUCCUACUAGGGAUAUAAACAAACUUGAUUUUUUCGGAUAUUGUCUCAAGUAAACAAAUUUAAAAAAUUUAAGAUAUUAAACCAAGCUCAAGGGUGAAUGAAUGUUGGAAACCAAUGGUCAUACUCAAAAGAGGAAAACAUAAGUUCAAAAGAGUGAAUAAUAAUGAGAUAAAAAUUUUUAUUGAUAUUUGGUAAAAAUUUAAAGAUCUUGCAUAUGUUUUGAAUAUACAGCUACCAUAAAAUGUGAUGCUCUGUAGAAAAGGGUCAAAAAGAAGGUAAAAAAAGAAGUUAAAAAGGAUAAAGAGAUAUGACUUCUAUUGAUAAUUAAAGGCAGUAAAAUAUGAAAAGUGUAUAAUCAAGUUAAUUAUUCAAUUCAAUAAAAAGUAUGAAAUCAGUUCUUAACUUUACAAAAUAUAUUUACCAUAUAUAACUCCUUAAAUUGUGAACAAAUUUUAAUAUUUAAUUAUUAAAAAAAUAUUAAUACCUUAACUUGCCAUAAUUAUCCAAGAUCUUUAAUUAAGAGUGAUAAAUGUUAAAUGCUAAAUAUAAGAAAAUAAUACAAAUAAUAAAUAUUAAAAAAUAAUUUUUAAAAAUUUAAUUAAAAUAUUUUUUUCUCAAAAGUUGCUAUAGCUUGUAAUUAUUUCUUAAAUCUAGUAAUUAAUGAAAAGUUAUGCUAUAAAUUUUAAUAAUAAUCUAAAAAGCAUAUUUGGGAUAAUUUUCACAUACUUUAUCACACCGGCUCAAACACAUUUCUAAACUUAUUUUGAUGUUUGUCAAAUACAAAAGAAAAUUUUGUAAGUCAAAUAAACAAAAUCAUGACUUGACAUUUUUCAGCUUAAAAAUUUAUUUGGAAAUGAUCAAUUAUGCCCAAUAAUAAAUAUCCUGGGAUAGAGGCUUAAUGCGGGUUUGAUUAUAGUUUUGGGAUUCUAGUUUUCUAUAUUACUAGAUUCUAAAUUAUAAUAUUUGCAUAUUUACUUGAUUUAUGUAAAAUAGACAUAAAUUUUGCAUAUUUGGAUAUUAAAUUUUGAUAUUCUCCCUCCGCAUGACAAUAUUCUACUUCCAUCACUUUGUUUAUUAAAAACAUAAUUCACUGCACUGAGCCUUGAAUUUGGCAGGUUGAGCUAUAGGUAUAAUUUCACUAACUAAUUAAUUUGAUGCAUACUCUAAGUUAGCAUAUUUAAAAGUUAGGGCGUAGCCUAAAUCGACACAGCGAAUUAACUUAUGUUAAAAUAUAGGAAAUGUUUUUUUUUUGUGUGGGUAUUAUUUGCUUGAUAUAGUCCUGAAAAAUAAAGGAAAAGGUUUUUUAGUUUGGUUUCGAUUUAAAGAAAUUAUAAAAGAACAAAUAAACAUCAUAGGAAAAAUGAUUUUAGGUUGGACAUUGUGCUGAUGAUUGAAUUAAGACUCACAAUUUAGCUCAAUUUAAAUUCUCUAGUUUUACAUUUUACCCUCCCCAGAUCCCAUUUUGUGAAAAUAUACAGAGUUUAUUGUUAUUGUUAUUCAUUUGACAUCGAAAUACUUAUAUAAUUAUCAAAAGAGCAGGGCUAAUUAGAUUUUGUCUGGCAUACAUAAUAGGCAGCUAGUAGUCUAUGAUAGAAAGACUAAAGCAUGUGACGAAUCUGCCAAUCGUGAGUUGUUGUUAAAUGAGAUUGACAAUGAUUUAACAAUUUAACUUUAAAAUUCUGUUUUAUUCUUCAUUAGAUGAUUUACAAUAACACAACUAUCUAAAACUUAAUUUAUACUCCAUAAAUUGCAAAUAUCUCUGCUUUUUUUUUCUUAAACUCAUAUACUCAAAUCAAAAGAUAUAUACCACAUACAUAAAUUGGGAUAGAGGGAGUAGUUAAUAUCUUGAAAUAAUCGUGUCUUCUGAAAUCAUAUAGUUGUAAAUUUUUAUGGUCCACAUAAUUAAUUUAUUUAUUGGUUUAAUAAUAAUUGAAUAAAUUAAAUCCUUAAUCUAUAUGAAAAGUUACCUAGUGGGAUUGUAUCCACAAUUACUGACUCCUAGUAAGAUAAUGGUUGUAUCCACCAAUCACAUUGAUGGAACGUGAAAACAUAAUUGACUAUUCCCAUUAUAAAAGGGGUCCUCUCUCUAUCAAAAGAAGAAUAAGCUCCAUCACAAUUAUUCUGAAACUAAGGUAAAGAGAGAGAAAUAAUUCAGUGCUUCUACUAUUACGCUUUUGUUUUCGCUAAAAUUAUGAAGAAUUCAGAUAAGUAAUUCUUUAUUAAAUUACUGUUAUUAUGUGUAUGUGAAAAUCAUUAAGUUCAACGUUCCUGAAUAAUACAAAAGAUUAUGGAUAGGAUUGUUUAUGUAUAAGAUUGUUUAAAUUUAUAUAAUCCGUUUUAUGCUUACAUGUGGUAUCAGAGCCUGAUUUUCGAAACAAGUGAUUUUCCAUUAAAAUUAAUGUUUCUCCAGAUCUUGUGAAUUUUAAUUAUGUUUGUUAGAAAUUUCACAAUUAUUGAAUAACGAAAUUUGAAAUAUUGAUAUUAUUAUAAUUAAUUCUAUUUAAAAUAAUAUGAGUUUAAUCUUUGUUAUUUUAAAUAUUAAAGAAACAAUUCUUUGUUGUUAGAAUGUUGUAGUAUGCAAUAAUAAAAUUUAUUGUUUCUUAAUAUAACUUGGAAUCAUAUAUGUAAGAUUCGUUAAUCACCAAAGUGGUCGAAUCUUUAUGAAAUUAAUUCCAAAAUAAAGGUUAAAGUUUAAAUUAAUUACCCAUUAAUCUUGAUGCUUAUAAUUGAUCUAAUAAUUAUGGGUAAAUUAAAUUUUUGGUCAUAAGACAUUUGUGGAUCACCCAAAGGUUGAUUGUUUGUUCGUAUGACCAAUAAAUAUUAAAGAGAUAAUUUUGAUGUAUUGUUAGUUUUAUUUAUUUAUUUAUCCAAAGAUGAUAAAUAUUAUUAAUUGAUGCAUUAAAUAUUAUUGUUUUGUGUUAAAUAUAUUUUAAGCAUCAUUAUGUUUAAAGUUAUAUUUUGAUGUUUCGCCCAAAGGAGAACAUCAAUAUACAUUUAAGUAAAUUAUUUCUGAAUUUGAUAGUGUGUUUAAUCUGAUAACUCAAAGCAUUAACAAAUGGGCAUAUUCUAUUUUCAGCACUUGUCCUCCAUUCGCACUCUGCCUCUGUUACGACUUUUAAUGGACUUAACUUUUCACAUUGAUGAGAACAGAUCAAAUUCCAUCUUGGAGUUUUAGAUCUUGAUGCUGCACUUUACUCUGAAAAGCCAAUUGCUAUUACUGAAGCCAGCAGUGAUGAAGAAAAGUCCUAUUAUGAGUACUGGGAUCGGUCUAACAGAUUAGGCCUAAUGUUCAUGCGAAUGAAUAUUGCGGACAACAUUAAGACUACUCUUCCCAAAAUUGAAAGUGCGAAAGAACUUCUGAAACUUGUGGAAGAGUCUUCCCAAACUGUUGAUAAGUCUCUUGCUGGGACACUAAUUGCUGGGACACUAAUGGGUACUUGGCCCACCAUGAAGUUUGAUGGUUCACGUACUAUUCAUGAGCAUGUCAUUGAAAUGACAAACAUAGCAGCAAGACUUAAGUCAUUGGGAAUGGAAGUGGAACAGAAUUUCCUUGUGGAAUUCAUUAUCAACUCAUUACCGUCUGAGUAUGGUCCUUUCCAAAUGAACUACAACACCAUGAAAGACAAAUGGAACGUGCAUGAAUUGGAUGGUAUGUUAGUUAAAGAGGAAACGAGGCUAAAGAAUCAAGGAUCAAGGAGCUGAAAAGAAAGGAAAGAAGCAUGGUAAGGGACAACAAAAACAACUUAAUGUUAAUCAGUCUUCAUCUCAAGUACAUAAGAAAGGGAACAAGAAUGAAAAGUGUCAUUUCUGUGGAAAAUCUGGACACUUUCAGAAAGAUUGCCUGAAACGUAAGGCAUGGUUUGAGAAGAAAGGUAAGCCUUGUGCUUUUACAUGUCUCGAAUCAAAUUUAACUGAAGUUCCUUAUAAUACUUGGUGGAUUGACUCUGGUUGUACUGUUCAUGUUUCUAAUACUAUGCAGGGAUUCCUUACAAUCCAAACCAUAAACAAGAAUAAAAAAUUUGUUUACAUGGGGAAUAGAGUGAAGGCUCCAGUUGAAGGUGUCGAGACUUAUCGUCUUAUUCUCGAUACUAGACGUCACUUAGAUUUAGUAGAAACUGUUUAUGUCCCUUAUCUUUCAAGAAAUUUAGUUUCUUUGUCUAAGUUGGAUAAGACUGGAUAUUCUUUUAAUUUUGGUAAUGGAUGUUUUAGUUUGUUUAAGCGUAAUUAUCUCAUUGGUACUGGUACUCUUUGUGAUAAUUUAUACAAACUGAAUCUUGAUAAUCUUUUUUCCGAAAAACUCUUAACUCUGCAUCAUAAUGUUGGUACCAAAUGAAGUUUGGUAAAUGAACAAUUUGCUUACUUGUGGCAUAAAUGUUUAGGUCACAUAUCUAAAGAAAGGCUGGAAAGAUUAGUUAAGAAUGAAAUUCUUCCAGAUUUAGAUUUUACUGACCUUAAUAUUUGUGUAGAUUGUAUUCAAGGAAAACAAACAAAACACACAAAGAAAGAAGCCACAAGAUGCACACAACUUCUUAAAAAUUAUACAUACUGAUAUAUGUGGUCCUUUUGAUAUCACAUCUUUCAAUAAAGAAAAAUAUUUUAUCACUUUUAUUGAUGACUUUUCGCGUUAUGGAUAUAUCUAUUUAUUGCAUAAAAAAUCUCAAGCGAUUAAUGCCUUAAAGGAAUUUAUUACUAAGGUUGAAAGACAACUAGAUAGAAAGGUGAAAAUAAUCAGGUCUGAUAGAGGUGGUGAAUAUUAUGGAAGAUAUGAUGAAAGUGGACAACACCCAGGUCCAUUUACUAAAUUCCUCAAAAAAUGUGGCAUAUGUGCUCAAUACACAAUGCCCGUCACACCACAAUAAAAUGGUGUGAUAGAAAGGCGUAAUCGUACAUUAAUAGAUAUGGUUAGGAGUAUGUUAAGUAAUUCAUCUUUACCUCCUUUGUUAUGGAUGUAUGCUUAAGGACUGUCGUUUACUUGCUAAAUAGGGUUCCUAGUAAAGCAGUCCCAAAGACACCUUUUGAACUGUGGACUGCUAGGAAACCUAGUUUGAGACACCUACAUGUUUGGGGUUACCCGACAAAAGUUAGAGUUUAUAAUACACAAGAAAAGAAACUGGAUUCAAGAACAACCAGUGGUUUCUUCAUUGGAUAUCCAGAAAAAUCAAAUGGGUAUAGAUUUUACUGUCCUAAUCAUAGUACGAGAAUAGUUGAAACUGGAAAUGCUAGAUUCAUUGAGAAUGGCGAAGUUAGUGGGAGUGAAGAACUACGUAAUGUGAAAAUUAAAGAAGUUAGGGUGCAAAUUUCUCUAACCUGUACUUCUUUUAAAUUUGUUUUUCCUGAAGAUGUUGUACAACAAAGUAAUCAACAAGAAUAACAAAUUAAUAUUCCUACUAAUGAAGCCAUAAUUGAUGAACCUGUAGUAGAUGAACCACAAGAAGUAGCAUCAAGAAGAUCUCAAAGACAAAGAAGAUCUGUUAUUUCUGAUGAUUAUUUGGUAUAUCUACAUGAGUCUGAAACUGACUUGAGAAUUAAUGAUGAUCUAGUUUCAUUUUCACAAGUCAUUGAAAGCAAUAAUUCUAAUAAAUGGAUAAAUACUAUGAAAGAUGAGUUAAAAUCUAUGGAACAAAAUAAAGUUUGGGACCUUGUUGAAUUACCCGAAGGUUGCAAAAGAGUUGGGUGUAAAUGGGUCUUUAAGACCAAACGCGACUCAACUGGCAACAUCGAAUGUCACAAGGCCAGACUUGUUGCCAAAAGGUUUUACUCAAAAAGAUGGCAUUGACUAUAAAGAGACGUUUUCACCUGUCUCUAGAAAAGAUUCACUCAGAAUUAUAAUGACUUUGGUAGCUCAUUAUGACUUAGAGCUACAUCAAAUGGAUAUGAAAACGGCUUUUCUAAAUGGAAAUUUGGAGGAAGAAGUUUAUAUGAAUCAACCUGAGGGGUUUUCUAUUAAAGGAAAGAAACACAUGGUGUGUAAACUUAAGAAGUCAAUAUAAGGACUUAAGCAAGCUUUCCGACAAUGGUAUCUUAAAUUUAAUGAAACGAUUGUCACCUUUGAAUUUAAGAAAAACAUUGUUGACCGGUGUAUAUAUCUGAAGGUCAGUGGGAGUAAGUUUAUUAUGUUAGUCUUAUGUAUUGAUGACAUCUUGCUUGCUACUAAUGAUCUUGAUUUGUUACAUGAUACCAAGAAAUAUCUCUCUAAUAACUUUGAAAUGAAAAAUAUGGGUGAGGCAUCCUAUGUGAUUGAAAUAGAAAUAUUUUGAGAUAGAUCAUAAGGAUUGUUAGGAUUGUCUCAGAAAAUCUAUAUUAAUAAAGUAUUAGAGAGAUUUAGAAUGGAAAAAUGCUCAUCAAGUCCCGUUUCAAUUCAGAAAUGAGAUAAGUUUAGUCUCAAUCAAUGUCCAAAGAAUGACUUGGAACGAAAGCAGAUGAAAGAUAUUCCUUAUGCAUCAAUAGUUGGGAGUUUUAUGUAUGCCCAAACAUGUAUAAGACCAGACAUCCUUUUUACUGUUGGAAUGCUGGGUCGAUAUCAAAGUAAUCCUGGAAUGGAUUACUGGAAGGCUGCAAAGAAAGUAUUACAAUACUUACGAGGAACGAAAGAUCAUAUACUCACUUAUAGAAGAUUUGAUCAUCUAGACGCGGUUGGAUAUUCAUAUUCAGAUUAUGUUGAUUGUGUGGAUACAAGAAAAUUCACAUUUGGAUAUUUGUUUCUGUUAGGUGGAGGAGUAAUAUCAUGGAAGAGUGCGAAGCAGUCUGUUAUAGCUGCAUCCACUAUGGAAGCUGAGUUUGUGGCAUGCUUUGAGGCCACAGUCCAGGCUAAUUGGCUGCGGAAUUUAAUUUUAGGACUUGGACUAGUCGACAAUAUAGCCAGGCCGCUGAAAAUUUAUUGUGAUAAUAUUACCGCAGUUUUCUUCUCUAAAAACGAUAAGUAUUCCAAAGGUGCUAAACAUAUGGAAUUGAAAUACUUUUCGGUUAAAGAAGAAGUUCAGAAACAUAAAGUGUCAAUUGAACAUAUUAGCACUAAGCUUAUGAUUGUUGAUCCUUUGACGAAAGGAUUACCGCCCAAAACAUUUAUUGAACAUGUUGAAAGAAUGAGUCUUAUUGAUAGCAAUGAAUGAUUUUAUGUAAACUCUUUAUCAUGUUUAUGUAAUUGAAACUUGGAGCUCAAAUUAUAUAUAUUUCUAUUGUUACCUGUUUUCUCUUGUAUACAUAAUAUUGUGAAUGAUGAUAACAGGUUCUGACUUAGAUAAAGUAUUCUAAGUAUUAUCGUUGGACCCAUUAUGUAUUUAAAAGGUUAUGUUAGGUAAUAGACUAAUAUUAUAGUACAUAGAAGGAACUAUGUCAAGUAAAGGGACGUACAGGGGCGGAUCUAUUCACAAGGUUUGGGGUGCCACGGCACCCGCACUUCUCGAUUGAAACUCUGCAUAUUUAUGUGUAUAUGUAUCAGUUAAUGUAUGAAUAUUACUCUUGGCACUUGCAAUAUCAAAGAAAUUGGUAGUGCAAGUGGUUGAAAUGGUUGAGUUUUACUCCAGCAACGCGGGUUCGAUCCCCCCGCUCAACACUAUAUUUUCAAUUUUUUAGAAUGAUUUUUAGGACUAUAUGUCUGUUUUCUCUUAAAAAAACAUAUUGUGGCUAUAAAGAAUGGAACCCUUGACCUCUUCUUACAAAACACUUGACAAUACCAACUAGUCAAGCCUUUAUGUAAUACUAGUAUUUGUUGAUGUACAUAAUUAUAGUUUAUUCCUUAAAUAUUGACUCUACUAUCCUAAAAAUAUCGUACGGUGUAUACGUUAUUGUUCAAAAUAAGGUGGCACCUGGAGCUUCCGAAUCCUGGAUCCGCCUCUGGGACGUACAACCGUCAUGACUCAUUUUAGUUGAUUUAUUUAACGAUGACAAAUGAUGUUGGAUUUAACGUUAAUAGUGCACAUGAUUGACGUACCUAUUAAACCAUUAAAUUAACAUUGUGUGUGCCAAGUGGAAGAAUGUAAAUUUCUAUGGCGCACAUAAUUAAUUUAUUUAUUGGUUUAAUAAUAAUUGAAUUAGUUAAAUCCUUAAUCUAUAUGGAAAGUUACCUAGUAUGAUUGUAUACACAAUUACUGACUCCUAGUAGGAUAAUGGUUGUAUCCACCAAUCACGUUGAUGGAACGUGAAAACAUAACUGACUAUUUCCAUUAUAAAAGGGGUCCUCUCUCUGCCAAAAGAAGAAGAAUAAGGUCCAUCACAAUUAUUCUGAAAGUAAGGUAAAGAGAGAGAAACAAUUCAGUGCUCUACGCUUUUGCUUCCGCUAAAAUCAUUGAGAAUUCAGGUAAGUAAUUAUGUGUAUGUGAAAAUCAUUAAGUUCAACGUUCCUGAAUAAUACAAAGGAUUAUGGAUAGAAUUAUUUAUGUCUAAAAUUGUUUAAGUUUAUAUAAUCCAUUUUAUGCUUACAAUAGUGAGAUUUCUUCACAGUGGUUUUCGUUAGGCAACAUAUUAAAUUCUCAAUUAAUUUACUCCAACUGCAAGCUUAAAGCAAGUUUACUCUUAGAAAGCCUAUUGAUAGUCCGCUAGAAUAAAAAGAUACUUAUAUCAAGCUUAAUUACCUGUAGAUGCAUGUGCUCUAGUUAUUGUGCAUACACAUCAGAAUUUAUGGAGACUUAAGGAGAAAAAAGCUACUGUUAAAAAUUGCUCAAUAAAGCUGGUAAACAUCUUUCACUAUUAUGUCACCUUAAAGACAAUUAAUUAAUAUGAUUAUGUCCGUUAUUGAUGGAAAUUAGUAACUCGAAUAUUAAUCAAGUUACCUGCAUCUUCAACUAUUGUUUUAAAAAUUUAAUUGCGUUGUCAGUUUGUGUAAAGAUAAAUCCAUAUGAAAUAAGUAAUAAUUAAAAUAUUUCAAAUUAUGUAUUUAUGAAGGUUGCAGGAUCUUUUCUUUUAUCAUAUAUAUUCUCAGUUCUACUGGAAUUUUUAUAUUUAAAAAUCGGGUGUAGGUAAUAUAAAUCAUUAGUGUGGCAUAGAUCACUCAAAAAAUAUUACUAUAAAUAGUCAGUGAAGAUGCUAUUGUUAAUACUCCUAGCUAGCUAGCAUUAAAUAACAUUAGAUUCUAUAGCAACCUUUAAUUUUAUCAUAGGCUGGCUCAAAAUUAAGAAAAACGGCGCUAGUAAUAAAUUUCUUUGUUUUUAGUUAAUAUGUUAACAAUAUUGUACUAUUGGAGUAUUAGUACUACAGUUGAAAAGAGAACUAGGGUUAGGCAGCUAUAGGCUAAAUAAUGUACUCCUAGUAUGUAGUUUAGUAGUUGGUACAUUAUUUCGUAAAAAGAUAUACACACAUCUAUAGAAGCAACAGAUAAAAAAAAAAGAGAUGAAUCUCAAAAAUUUUGGAAUUGUUUGGUAUGAUAUCCUCACAUAAAAAUAUCAUGAAAUUAUUUUAUUUUGUGUUUGAUUUUUAAUUUUUAUUCUGAUACUAGUAACCAGAGAAAAUUAUAUAUAUCAUCAUUCUAAUAUUAUGAAUACGAUAUAACAUAAAAUAAUUAAAAGAAAAAAAUAUCCUUUUUCAAAGCUCUUUCCGAGAACUCUUUAACAAAUCUAAGGUUAAAUUGGAAAUAAAAGAUUAUCUUAAUUAUUUAAUAUAAAACUAAUGAAACACAUAUUUUAGCAUAUUUCAUGCAGUAUAUUUUAUUCUUAAUCAUAUAUAUAACAUAUUCAAUAUAAUUUCACGUGUGAAGUUUGAAAUAAAUAUUUAUAGAAAAUAUAUGUAUCUUUAAAUAUUUCUAUUUGUUUAAUUUCCAUAUUAUAAUUCAUACAUUAUAACUUCAUUGCAAAAUUAAAGUUAAAAGUAUCUUAUUAGUGAAAGAAGACUAAACCCUAAAAGCAAAUUGAUCUACAUAUCGAAAGAAGUUGGUCUGAUACGUAUAUUAUAGAUUCCCUUGUAUUUUGCAUCUUAAGAUGUGCUAUUUUUUGUAACUUGCAUCCUAUUUUUUUUUUUCUUUUUUUUGGUGAAACCUAUUUUUUUUUUCUAAUGAUUUAUACCCCAAUUUCUUUAUUUCCUUACAAAAUAAUAAAAUUACCCUUUUCAUAAUUUUUUCAUGAGGGUAAAAUAGGAAUAUAGAGAAAGAGAGAAAUUUUUUUAAUGUAGGAGACUAGAUGAACUAAAUUCUUUCCGCCAUUUACUUUUACAUCGCUAGUCUACAGCCGACUUCAAAGUUACUAGUCUCCAGACGACUUGAAAAAUGUUCGUUACCAAGCAACUUCUAUGUCGCUGGUUACCAACCAACACUUUCAUGUUGUUGAUGUGGCCACGCGACGUCGCGAUCAAUAUAUGUGGAGUUUCAAUCGUUCGUUACAAAAAAUCUCAAAAAAGUGAACGAACCUAAGUUAAUUCCCGCCUAAUUUUUUGGUACAAGCCUAAUUAUUCCAAAGAUAACUAGCUUGGAAUCUAUUAUGCUAUCUGAACAUAUAGCUUUGAAGUUAAAAAAAGUAAAUUAAGCCUAAAUUUUUUGUUUGUAUUUUGCUAGAAUAUUUCUGCAAUUAAAAAAUUGAGGAGGUCAAAUAUAUAGUUACACUAAUUUACUUUACUCAUUUCUAAUGAAAAUUUUCUAGUGAGGCAAAAUAUUUUGCUAUGUCUGUUCUUUGGAUUAGAAAGUUUUUUUUUUCAAAAAUAAACUGUAGAUAAUUCUUUAUAGGUCACGCGGCCAGUGUAACCAUUGACUUAGAAGUUGCUUAGUAAUCAGUGACUUUCAAGUUGUUUGGAGAUCAGUGAUUUCGAAGUCAGCUGAAGACCAGUGAUGUAAAAGUGAAUGACAGAAAUAAUUUAGUUCAUCUAGCCUCCUACAAUAAAAAAAAUUAGAUAGUUUUUUCAAAGAAAAUAUAUACUAUUAAUCCUAUUUUAGGCAUCAUGAAAACAUUAUAAAAAAGGAUUUUAUUAUUUUAUAAGAAAAUAAAGAGAUUGAGGUGUAAAUCAUUUUAAAAAAUAAAAAUAAAAUGCAAAUUAUAAAAAAAGCAUACGUUAGGAUAAGAAAUACAACAGACUCUAUAUUCUAUAUUAUAUGGAGAAGAAAAUUAGCUACUAUACCGGGGACCCGCCUAGCUCUAUGAAAGCAAUGCAUGCAUGUGGUCCUUUUUUUUUAUCUCUUACGUACACACAUAAAAAAAAAGAUCAAAAAGCUUCCAAACCCUAAUUAUCUUUUUGUACCACACUUCUUCAGUCAUAUCUUCAUCUUCUUUAGUCAUCUCCUUUUCAUGAAUAUUAAAGGACCACUACGAGAUUCCCAGUAGCCUAGUUGAUUGAGUAUCUGAACUUUUAUUUUGUUAGCGAACUUCAAUUUUCAUAUUGUAAUCCACUUUUUUAAAAAAGAGGACCACAAAACUAUCUUUCCAUUUUAAGCUUAUUUUUGCCUCAUCUGAUAACAUGUUUUUUCUUGGAUUCAAGGAAAAUUUUAGUAGUUCCAUUGUUUGAUUAUUUAUACUUUAUCUUUUUAGAAAAAAAAGAUCACAAAACUAUCUUUUUAUUUCACUCCAUUUUAAGCUUACGCUUGCCUCAUCUUACAACAUGUUCUUUUGUUGAAUUCCAGAAAAAUGUUAGUAGCUCUGUUGUUAUCUGAACAGAUCGGUCUUUCCAUCCGGUUUUGUUUUGACUAUUUAUACUUUUAUCUUGUUGAAGGUUUGAUUUUCCACUUGCUAAUCCACUCACCAAAUAUAAUUUUUAAUUUUUUUUAUUUUACGAAAAGGACCACAAAACUAUCUUUCAUUUCACUCCAUUUUAAGCACAAAACUAUCUUUCAUUUCACUCCAUUUUAAGCUUACUUUUGCCCCAUCUUAGAACAUGUUUUUUGUUGGAUCCCAAGGAAAUCCAACAAAUAUUAAUUUAUACUUCAAAAUCUCAAUCUCUCAUGUGUCUCUUUCAACUUAAUGAACACCCUUCCAUUUUGUACUAAAUCUACUCUUAUCCCUAUAUCUUUUCCCUCUCUUCAGCAGCGGCAGCAACGACUACUGCUAGUCUGCUACUCUAACCACAUUCGUGGUUGACAUAUCCAAACUCGAAAUUAUUUUACACUAAUUUCGAGUGUAAGUUAUACUCUUCUUGUUCCACAUUAUGUGACACAAUUUGAAAUAUGAGGUCCAAACUAACUUAUAUGUGCGAAUUUGACCAUAGAAUAUCCAAAUUUCAAUUUUUCUUUAUAAAAAAAAACUACAUAAAAAGUAGAAAUCAGAAUUAAAAAAAAAAGUAUUUGAAGACAUGGUAAAAGAAAAACUCAUUUUACAAUAUCAGUACAAUUUAGCUGGUCGUAACAGGCAGCCUUGAUAUAGAGAAUUUCUAUCAGUUAUUGCAAGUCAACUUCAGUUGAUUGACACUAAAAAUUUCAUUAAGGAGAUUCAAAAAAGUAUUACACUUGAAGUUAAAUAUACAAUAUACAAAAAGGGAUUUCAACAAGUUAUAGUUAGAUAUAAAAAAAAUUUCGAGUACAUAUAUACGACAUACAGUUUUUCAAUUGAACCCUUUCAUUUCAUAAUCCAUGGCUGUAAAAAUUCUUUAAGUUGUCCUUGCACAAAACAAAAACUCAUUUUAAAGAACAAAAUGCCAAAAUCUUGAAAGAAGAAGAAGAAGAAGUCAUCACUAUAUAUAUUUUGCCUCUAAUUAACGGUACAACUUUAUACAGCAUAUAUGAUACAUGUUGAACACGGUGUACAUUGAAGCAAAAAGUGAUCUCAAACAAUCCAGUCUUGAGUUUUACAGCAAUAGUCCAUAAAUUAUUAUGAUCAAAAGAUUAAAGAGAACAUACAUUUGCUGCUAUAAUAAUAUAUAUUUAUGCUAGUAUCGAAUUAUUCACUCACCGAGGCACGUAUCAUUGAUGAUCAGCUCUGAUCUUGAAAGAUGAAUAGCUAGCUAGCCAGCAGCUUAUGAUGAAAUCAUGAAAUGAAACAUUGGAUCACGGAGAAUAUAGCACAAUAUAUCACUCUAUCUCAUGACCACCAGUGAAAUUAUAUCUGUCUUCUCUGGUAUUAUGUCGAAAUUAUGUGACCAUUAACUCUUCAUCUAAAAACUUAAGCUGUUAUAAAGAGCUAGCACACUUAGACAGAACGGAUCAUCAAUGAUCUUAAUUAAUUGGAGGACUCCCUCUCCUCACAAUUUUGAGAAGGUAGAAAAUGAAAUGGUCUUAUAGAUUGGCUGGUGGAGUCAAUAGGAUGUCUAAAGGAAUUAGUAGGAUUUUCUGAACCUGAAUUAUUCAACAUUUGAAAGUUGAUUUCUUUCGGAUCAAACUGAUCAGACGACGAUGCUCCAGCAAUAUUAUGUUGAUGGAAAAAUUGGGGCAAUCCUGGUGGAUAAACAACAAGUUGAUGAUGUGAACCUAAUGGCAUACUAGGCAUUAAGUUGAAGUUGUGAAUAUCUUGAUGAUCAUGUUGAUGAUGAGGCACUGAAUUUUCUGAAUGAGCUAAGGAUAAAUUUGAAGGAUCCCAUUUCAAGAUAUUGGGAUUGUACCCUAAGGGAUUAUUAUUAGAUGGUUCCAAUGGAACAUUAUCCCAAUUGAUGCUACUAUUGCUCUUAUUAUGAUGUCCCUCUCUAUUAAUUUGUGAAUUACCUCCAAUUCCCAACAUAGGAUAAAGAUUAGGGUUCAAAUUUCCAGGAGGAAUUUGUAAAGGAGGCAAUUCGUCGAUUUCAUGCUUAGCAGCAUCAAGCAACCAAUCAACAACUUUACUUGGUUGAUUAAGCCCUAAUCUGUCUUGAAGAUCAUAUAAUUGAAUAGCAGUAGGAACUGAAAGCCUUACACGACGAUCUCUUAGCCCUCUUACUGUGCAAACCUUGCUAUGUCUGUCUUUUCCUCCAAAUGCUCGCGAUACACGAACAAUUCUUGGAUCCUUUAACCUUGUCCAUGAUGUUGUUGAAUUAGACGUUGACGAAGAAGCCUUGUUAUUAUUAUUCUGAUUGCUCGUGUUUCCAUCGUCAUUCGGGUUGCUCUCUUGCUUGUUCACUUCUCUUGAAAUCAUCUUAUGGUGUCUCUCAUAAUUGAAGCGAAAAAAGCUUCCCCAGGGACGUCUUGUGAACAAUAAGGUAAGUGGCUUAGUACUCCUUUGUCACUUGGACUAAAGUUUCUUUAAAUUCUUCAGUGUGCUACCUAGCUCCAAGAUUUCUGUUUGAUACAAAGAAAUGAAAAAAGAAACACAAAUAUCAAUUUAGUAUAGACAACAAGUAAGACUAAUUUAAUACCCUAAACGACAACAACAACGCCUAAAUCUCAAAUAAGUUGGGGUCGACGACUAAUGAGUAUCAGUAGAAUUUCUGCUAUUGAUACUCAUUAAAAAUAAAUUAAGGCAGAUAUUACUAGUAUAUCUAUCCACCUUUCUGAAGAGAAAAUGAAAAUCAUGAAAUUUCACAAGUAUUAUAAUUUAUAAGCACUUAGAAAUUAGUCAUGAACAAAAUAAUUCUGAGGAUAAGAUAUACAAGUAGUAAACUCUCUUUAUAUAAAUUGACUCUAUUUUAAAAAAAAAAAAUAAAAAAAAAUGAUAUGAAGGUAACUAAAGCAUGGAAAUUGGCGUACCCUAGAAUUUUGUGAAAAAAAUAAGAAAGACUCAGCAUACAUACUUACCUAAUAAAGAGAGCUUUAUUUUAUUUGAAAGGGCGGCAGCAGCGUUUAGCUUCUUCAAUUUAGCAAACAGUUGCAAAGAAGAAAUUCUCUUUCAUUUCAGAGCAGAAACAAUAUAUGGAAAUUUUGAUAGUAAUAGGAAAGAAGAUGCUGGACUCCAACCGACCAUUUACAUAUUAGAAAGCAAUGGACCACAGGUCGCCACGUAUUGUUUGGCAUAUCUAACAGAUAAAUAUAUAUGUUACUCUUCUUCGUCUUGAUUUGGUUGCUUGUUUCACUUGUCUCAUGCUCUUAACUAUGUCAUACGAAAAAGUUGAAUUUAAAAAAUUAUAUAUAAAAAAAAAAACUACCAUUACCAAGAAGAGGAGGUCUUUUCCCAUAACUAAUCAAUAGAAAUUGUUUGUGUUACAUGAUUUUCUCACCUCAUUUCCACGAAACCACUUAAUUAGGAAAAUAUAUGGUGAAGAACGAAUUUUCAAAAUGCUGAGAAACGUGUUUUUUUUCUCACUCUUUAAAUUAAAUACCUGUGUGGAAAUAGAGUUACUAAACUUUUUUCAAUAAAAAAUUUUCAAUAGAAAUAUAAUGAGUUUUUAGUAGUCAUUCUUUUUAAAAGGAACCAAAAAAAAAAAAGUAAGAUAAAUAAAUAGAAAUAAAGGGAGGACUAUUUGUUAUAUUGUGCUCGUCAAUUUUCUCAUCAAAUGCUCAGCACGCUUGCUGAGCUAUCAUGGAUUAUUAGUCUAUAUAACUUAGUUUUUAAUUCUUUGCUAGUUUUUCCAAAAAUAGGAAGCAAGUUUAGCAGUUAGAAACAAGUCCCUAAUUAGUAAAACUCCAGUUUGCUCAUGAACAGGAUUUUUUUAUCUUUGGACAAAAGAAUAUAAUGUUAUGGGGACCAUUUAUUCACGUAGAGAAAAGUUGGGGUUGAUGCUUUAUCGACAACUACAAAAGGUUGAAUUCGUAUAUAUCACAUGGGUCGAUUGAAGCACGCCUAGCCACUCUCAUUAAUUAAGUGUCUCACCAUUAUUCAGUAACUUAAGCAAUUUGUUUGUAUAUUAAUUUGUGUCAAAUUCAGCUCAACACAAUUAAUAGCAUCUGUUGAAAUGUUCUUAGACUUCUUAUUAAUAUUGUUACUGUUUUUUUUUCAGAGAUCUCUUCCCUCACCUAUAUAUGUGGGAUAUCAUCUUCAUCACCCUCCACGUCCAGUCCCAUGGCGCAAACAGCCCUGUACAAUCUAUUCGGGGGCCAACAUCAUAUGUUUGCCUCGAUAUUAUGUUAAUUAAUGGAUCUUGGGUCUGAUUAACUCAAUCCGAAAAGCUAGCUCAACUAUAAUAGGAUAGCCCAAGGCCCGUACAGGGGUCCAGGGAUCUCAUCCUCACUAAUGUGGGAUAUCAUCUUCAUUUGUUUUAGAUCACAAAUUCCGAAAGUCUUUCUUUCUUAAAUAUUAUGUCCAUUCACAUAUAUAAAUUGGGAUGGAGGGAGUAGUUUAGCGUCCAAAUUAAAAUAGUUUCUCGAAGGUGUGUUAGCAAAGAUUUCUUUUUCUUACAUAGAUUGAUUUGCUAGCUCAUAAUUAGAAAAUAUAUACGUGAAUAUAUAAUCCUUACUGGAAGAGAAAUUAAUUAAAAUAAAGAAAUGAUGGCAUGGUGAAAGUAAUAGGUACAUAGAUGAAAGGGAGAGGAGAAGACUUUCCCUUAAAGAGGAGGGACCAAACUGAUCAUUUUGUUUACAAUGUCCACUCAAUAUAUAUGUAGAUGAAGGACCACACUGCCUUUGUAUCGCAGAGAGAUUUUGCAAGGACCAACAAGCUAAGUCACAAAUAUAAUUAUGAGAGAAAGCAAGUUAAGUGAAGGAAAUAAAAUUAACUAAAGAGGUUUGAGGAUUCUUUUUCCUCUGCUAAUACAAAACAAUAUCUCAUCAGCAUUUUUAUCGACAUUCAAAGCCCCCAAAGUAAACCAAUGACUUAUCUAAACAGUACGUUUCAAUGGUAAUAAACCUCUUAACUGUUUGUAUAUCUACUGGGAAAUUGAUUCAAGAAAAAUAUACACAUAUUUCUUGUAUGUACUACUACUCUCUCCGUUGAGAGUAUAUAUGUGAUUAUAUUUGAUUGGAUACGAAAUUUAAGAAAAAAUGAAUAAGUUAUGAAAUUUAUGGUCUAAAACAUGUUAUAAAGUUUUAUUUAGGACAAACUAAAAAAAAAGUUAGAGACAUAAACUAAAACGAAAUAUAAUAAUAUAUUGAGAGGAUAUUUAACUUGGUUGAAAAUAUUUUAUGAUAAAAGGAAAGUACGAGAAGGUAAGAAAAGUAGGGUUCUGUUAAAAAUAAUUUCUAAGAGAAGUACCACACUUUCUAUUCCAAUGUAUGUGAUAUUUUUGUGUGUGUCUAAAAAAGAAACGUUGUUUUCUAUAAUUAAAAAUAGUUUAAUCUUUAAUAAAUAAUCACUUUAUUGUUGAUGAAACAAUUUAUAUUAAGUCAUAUAAGAAUCUAAAAAAAAAUUAAAUUAAAAAUUUCAAAAAUAAUUUGUUUUAAAUCAAAGAUUUCAAAAAAAAAAAAAAAAAACUUUAAAAAAAAAAUUAUGUCAACUUAAAUAGUGGCAUAUAAAUUGAGACAAAUAUCGUAUAUUUACGUUAGAAAACUUCAAAAAAAAUAAAAAAUUGUUUGUUAGGUCUGCAGUAUUAAGAGGGAAUUAAGAGGUGGGGAACAAACAUCAAUAAGAAACUAGGAGUAGCUAGGAAUAUAAGUAAUUAAAAAGAGGCAGAUAAGCCAUUUGAUUAUAUUGAAGGCAAGCUACGGUUCGUUGCAGACGUGAUUUAUAGUUGCCAGAUCAAUGAUGGCCCCAAAGACACAUUCGCAGAUAUUCAUCAUCCAGUUGAAUAGAGUAUAUAAUUACUCCUCCAUUUCAAUUUAUGUCAUAUUUUCUUUUUUUAUUAAAAAAAAUAUUUACUAUAUUUAGAGUAAUUUUUUAUAUAUAACUUCUUAGAUAAAAUAUAAGAGACAUUUUAUUGUAUUACACGUAUUUAUAAUUUAAAAUCUCAAAAUUUAAUUAUGUUCUUAUUUUUUUUAAACUGCAAGCUCAAUAAGACGCAUAGACGUUGACGAUUGAGUAAUUGAAUUUUGGAUGGAUCCACAGCCGCAAGUUCCACCGUCCCGGCCCUAUAAUAAAAAUAAUGUUGAAAUCCUUUUCUGCACCUUUCUCAUAUGCAUCAUAUAUUAUAUGUACCAAAUGAAUUCGAUUCCGUAUUCGACUUUUCUUUUCUUCUUGACCUUUAGUUAUUUGUAGUUUUCAGUAUCCAUGAUGAUAAAUAUAUAUAUAUAUAUGUAUAGGGCUGCAGGCCAAAAUCAAACUAAAAGUGAUCACACUGGCCAAACUUUUAACGACUAAAAAUUAAUGGGCCAACUUGUCAAUGCAAAAUUAGAAGUACACAUGUAUUAUAGGCAUGCGCCAGCCAGCCUAGCAGGCUAGCAACAAUGAUACGGAUCAAUUUUAGACUUACAUUGGAUAAUAUGGAAAUUAAAAGGACAGGAUACAUUACGAAACUUCAGGAAAAUUCAUAGUUAUUCUUUGAAUGCGUUCUGUGCGAAAUCAUAUAAGAAAUGUAAACACACUAGAAAAGUCUGUUGUGACGAGAGAAAGCAUUGUCGGAGGAAAUUGAAAUUGACAGAACGUUAGCAACUAUUUUUACUAGAAAGUGAUGUUUGACUCUAAUGAAAUAUAAACUUGCGUCAAUUUUCUAGUGAGAAAUUGAAUACUCGCAUAUCAUAUUUGAUUGAAAGUUGAGUAACCUAGUAUUAAGCAUAUCUAUAGGAUGGGGAACAAAGUUGCUUAUGGACAUAUAUGUAGUUCAAAGAACUAUCUUUUGUUGCCAAAAAGAAGAAAAAAAAAAUCAAUAAUUAAGACUUUUACUGCUGAGGGCGAGGCUAGUAAUUAAGGAACAAAAAGUCAAAUAGUUUACAUAUGAAUGAAGGCUGGGAAAAAGGAACCAUAUAUAACAGCUAAUUUCUUGAUCACUUUGUAAAAGGUUAUGUGGUUUGAUUAGUUCUAACAAGGAAAUAUUUAUCUUCGCGUAAGGUUUACUCCAAUCCAAACCAAGUAAUUCUCAACAAAAUUUACUUCUCCCAUUCCAUUUUAUGUGACACGAUAAUCAAAUUAUCAGUGUGAAUUUGACAUAAAAACAUUCAAAUGUCUUAAAACAAGUUUUACAAAUUUAGACGCUAUAUAAAAAGUACUAUAAGUCACAAAAAUUUACAAUCUAAGACGUUAAAAACCAGCGAUUAAUAAUAUUAUGCCACGUAAAUUAGGACGGUACGUAUUUGAUAUAUAUGUCACCAUUGCCUUAACUAUCAUAGUACUAUGCAAUUGCUAUACUUAAGGAAAGAAAUAUUUUAUUUUUAUGUAGCAUUCUCAUCUCAUGACUGUGCAUGCCAGUAGGUUAAAAAAAAAUCACCUGAUUGAAAGCAUCCAAAAGAAUUGCUUUAAUGAUCAAACAUGUCCAGAGAAAGGAAAUUGUUUCCAUUUCUGACUUCAAUCAGAAAACAUUGUGGUCAGGCAUAUUUCCCUUUCGAUGAUUAAUUAGUUAAACAACCCAUAUGAAGGAAGACUUAAUAAAAUUUAUUCCCAGUCAUUUUAGUCAUAUCUAGGUUUCUGGGAAAACCAUCCAAUGUCUGUAAAUGAAAUGCCUCAGAACAAAAUAAUCUUCUUUGCAAAAGUGGGAGAGUCAUUUGCUCCUUGGCCCUUUUUUGUGUUUGGACUUUAAUUUAUGUUUCUCAUAACCCAAAAAAGAAAAUGAGUUAUAAAUUUAUAUUGUCGUACCAUAAUAUCUCAUAAGUUAUGUUCGAGCAUGACUUACAAUUUCUAAAGGACACAUAUGUCCUAGGCAUGAGUUUGACUGUUUGAACGGCAAAAAUAAAAAUCAGCUCAUUUAAAGGAUAUACAUUCAGUAUCAAUUUUUCCUAAGGCCAAAAAGUAUAAUUUUAUGAAAGUGAGAUAUCUUAUUAUUGUUGACAUAUAUCAUGAAGCCAAGUGGUGGAGCUACAACUUCUAGCUAACGAAUUUGACAAGAACUCAAUAAUUUUCAUCCAAUCUUUAUAUUUGUAUUAAAAAUUCAGUAAGUUGCAUUUUGAAGAAAUCCAAAACUCCUAAAAGGACCUAGCUAUUUAUAUAAAAAUCACACUGAUGGUGGUGUAUGUAGCUAGGUUUAAGCUAUAAAAUGGAUCUUCUUAUAUAAUUGAUGAAACAAAAAAGAAAAUCAAAAGCUCCGAGCUAAUUAAUAUAUACUGUGAAGAUUGACACAAGAACCAAAUUCAUAUUUUCUCCAAAGUCCUUUUUCUUUCAUAUAUACUCCAUGCAGAUUCAAUCAUUCAAACCAUGUUAUAUAAAGCCUUAAUUUCAACGAGUUCAAAUUUAACUAUUUGAAUCCUCACUGAUAAUUUAAGCUAUACUAGAUUCAUUUAAGCUCGUUCUCAAAUGACAAAAUAUCAUACAAGAUAGUAAUAGGCAAUACUAUAAGUUCUUAACACUCAUGGGCUGACCUAGGUACAAAAAUCUGGUGCUUCGGCACCCAUUAAAUCUAAUCAUCAUAUAGGUAUAAUUAUACAAAAAAUGGAUAGGAAGGAAAAAAGUAUCCUUAAAAUCCAGAAUAUAGCUGCGUGCUUUGAUUUUUAAGUGGAAUUUUCAAGCUUUAUGUGUCAAUAUGUGUGUUUGAACCUCUCGAGCGCCCACAACCCCUAAAUCCUAGAUCCGCUACUGUUAAUGUUCUACUAUUUUUUUUAAUUAUGAAGAAAGACAAAAGGUCUUAAAUACGAUGUCUGGAGAUACCAAGACAAGAGAGAAAAGCAGUAGCAGUAGUUAACUUUCUGUGCUUUAUUUUGCAUUAUUCACUGCUACUGACACUAUGCAUUCAAUCUCAGUUUGAUCCAUCACCCUCUUCUUCGUUUUUACGGUUUCUUUUCACUGACUAAAAAGGGACGAAAUUAAAUUACUCUGCACAACUCACAGUAUCUAUUAUGAAGAUGACCACAUAUAAAGAUAAGACAAAAUUUAAAAACUUAGAUCGAUGCUUACACAUUGAGUACAGUUCAGUUGGAUGCCGGGGUAAAGUACAUUACAUUGCGUAAAUAGGAUUAAUUUAAUUUUAAUUUUUUCAUGUAUAUAAAGUGUGAUAUAUGACAGACUGCUGGAAAUUACUUUAUGUUGCAAAUUGAGAUAUCAAGUGUUGAAAUUCUUAUAGUACCUUUUAUAAGAGGAAAAAUUAUUUAAAUUCAUGGUUCCGCCACAUUAUGGACAUAAAUUCAUACAUUACAGGAUCAAGAGAAGCUAAAGGAAAUACUAAUACUAAUACUAAUACUAAUACUAAUACUAGUACGAAGUCAAAAAUACUAAGUAGUAGAUAAGUUUUUUCUCCGUGGUGAAUAAAGUUAUCCGAUACUUGUGCUAGUAAUGAAAGGUAGUAAAUAAUAGGUAAAACUAGACAAAGUGGCACAAAUUGAUCCAGACAAUAUCAUCAUAAGGGGAAAACUAAUACUAACAUAGUAUGUAGUAUACAAAGUCUGCAAUUUAAAGAAGAGGCGAUUUCAGCUUGAUCAAACAAAUAUAAGCCAAUCAUUAGCAACUUGAAAAGGGGGCUCUCUUUUUUCCUAUAGGUUUUCAUGGAUUCAAUAAAGCACACUAGCACCCCUUUAUGGAAAGACAUGAUAUAGCCCUAGAAAUGUAUAAUUAUUGAAACAUUUGAUAGUUGGAUUUGUACGAAAAGAGUUUUGUUUACUUGAGGGUAAAGUAAAGUGCUGCCUCAUUUCCAAAUUGGGUUAUGAUGUGAAAUAUGAAACAAUAUGUUUGUUAGAUUUUUGAGGCAUGCGCAACUGCCGUACAAGUACUAUUAUUCCUUCUAACAUAAAAAAACACUCAGCUUUCUUAUUAUGUUCCUGUUCAUACCACAAUACUCAUAGGUAACUAUUUGCUUUUGUAAAUCACUUUAUUAUCUCCUCUUUCUUGCCUGUCUUGUCUUUUCCUAUAAUUGGACCAAGGAGAAGUUGUCCAUUCAAGUAUUCCAAUAAUAACGUUAAGACUAUUCGAACAAGGUACGAAUAACGCCUAGUUGCUUGUAUUGGUGAAAAAUGCAAGUGUAUUUAGGUGAGGACUAACAAAUAAGCUUUUAGUAAUUGAUUCGCAUUAGAAGUAGUUUAGAGUUAGUAAUUAAGUGAUGAAAUAAAAGAUCAUAAAGUCGUUGGCACAAACACAACUCAAGGAGGAGUUAGCUGAGGCUAAUGCUAUGUAGAGUGAACUCCAACAACAAAGCGUGCUUCCACAUUAGGAACAACGGAAUUGGCUUUAUUUUACAUUUGGAAAACUAACAAAGUAUAAAAUUCUCAUGCUCUCUUGUCUAAUUAUGGGGAAUCAAGAACAAGUUUCUUGGCAGGGAAAGUAUUGAGUCGAUUCCAGAGAUAAAAGGUCCAAAUAACUAUGAAAAUUUUCAGUAGUCACAUCUAAAAUUUAUUUUAUUAUUUUCUUGAACUCCAUAGUAAGAUAUGAAACAAAUCUUCAACACCAUAAACUUUGGGAAAUCAGAAUCAUACUAUAGCUAAUCAGAUGUUGCGUUCGACUAACUUUGCCCUUUCAAACACAAGGCAGGGAACAAUCUGCAUAAGCUAAAUGGACAAAAUUAUUCAAUGGGUGAAACUUUUCACUUUAAAACCAAAUUGCUCCAAGAAUAUAUAUCUCAACAUGUUAAAAAAAGGGAGUACAUUUGCAAUACACUUGGUUGACACUGCAAACAUCAUCAGCUGCGAUUAUUGACAGCAACUGGAGUCUUCGCCGCAAAUACACAGCCUGGUACAGAGAGAGUUCAAGUGGUUACAAAUUAUGUGAUAUAUCAGCACACAGCUAACAAAAUUGAAUUCUUCAAGAAGAACAAAGAAAACAGAAAUAGUUUUGUAAAGAAGAGAAAAAAAACAGAGAUGCUACUCUUUUCCAUUUUGCCGGAGUAGCCACAACAGCCAACACUUUUUUGUUUCUAGUUACCUGCUCUGCAGUGAUAUUUUUACGGGCAAUUGCUAAUCCUUUAUGGAAAGAAAGGUGUCGCUGUAAAAUGCGCACGGAGCUUAAAUUUUAUGGAAUUUCAGAAAGUUGCCUUGUAUUUUCUUAUAUUUUUUAAUAGGAAAAAAAUGGGGGCAGCUUGGUACACUAAAGCUUUUGCGCUAUGUACAAGCUCUGGGGAAGGACCGAACCACAAGGGUUUAUUGCACGCAGCCUUACCCUGUAUUUCUGCAAGAGGCUGUUUCCACGGGUUGAACCCGUGACCUCUUGGUCACAUGAAAGCAACUUUACCAAUUACACCAAGGCUGUGUACUUAUUCUUGCAAAAGAAGAACCGACUUCAUUUCUUUUUUAUGAUUGUCCCAAGAUAUAUGGUGGGCUUAAAGUUCAUCAAGACUUUGUGUUGCAAGCUCAAUCACUGCUCAAGCCUUGGCUCAGUCACGACCAAUCCAAUUGUGACUUUUCAAGUCCAAGUCUAGUUCGAGCCUGCUUGAGUAGCAAACAUACCAAGCUUGAGUUCCAAGUAACUGGUUCGUUAGACACACACUUCAAAAGCAACAAACAAGUAACAACAACAAACACCAGUGUAAUCCCAUAAGUGGGUCUGGAGAGGCUAGGAUGUACGCAGACAUUACCCCUACCUUUGUGAGGUUGAGAGAGCCUACCUACUUAAUCGGGUUUAGACCACGCAGUCCUCUUCUUCAGUUUUUUUCCUCAUUUACCAGUAGACCGCCUCUCUUUUAUUGAAAAGGUCAUAUUACCAGUAGGCUACCUCUUCCCCUUCUCUUAGUGUUGUUCCUUACUAUCAAAGUCUCUCCAGCAUAUUUUUGUGAUAAGGUAAAUAAUUUUGUUGAUGUGGGAACCUGUAUAUAAAUCCAAUAUAUAAAUAGGUAGAACGCCUACUAGAGAAAAACCUCUCUCCAGCAUACCUUUAUCCUUUCCCGCUUGUCUCUAUAUCUAUGCUAACUGCGUAAACAGACCUACUCAUUUCCGGCAUCCCUUAUAUCUCUUUUUUCUUUUUUUGAAGUAAGUUGUUUCAUAACCAGCAUCAAGCAGAUGCAAAGAGUAUCCGGCAUCCCUUAUUUAUCUCUUGAACUCAGAUUGCAGGCAAAUGCAACAAAUCCCGAGUCUUAUUUCAACAUAAGAUGCAUUGCAUUAAUUUUUGUUUUUUCUGUUGUUUGAAGCUUUGAGGAUAUGUUAAAACUUUGUAGAAUUCAGCUAUUUUCGCUCUUUUCUGAUUAUUACAUUCAUGAGAGUUGUAGGAUUAUUUUAUUAUUAUUAACCGUGGUGUACGGACUAGCUUUCGCGCACCUCGACUAAAUCCACAAGAUACCUGCCACCUCCUACCAGAAACAGAUAUCAAGUUUGUUGUAGGAUUGUUUUUAUUAGGGCUUUUCUCAUAAUUUUUACCAUUUCUAGUUCGGAUUGGUAAAAGUUAUCUAAUUGUCUGCUGUAAAAGUUAACCAAACCCGUAGAGCCAGUAUUUAGCUCAGUAAAGUGUAAAGACCUGAUUGUCAAGAUGCAUGCAAGCUCGCGCAGACACCACGGUUAUUAAAAGAAAAACUGAUAGUCUCAAGCUCGGGCUUGAUUAAGCUCCACCCAACCUUGAGGUCCUCUCUCAAUGCACCAACUUAAGCUGAACCUAGCUAAUGUUAGGCUUGGCUUAGGCUGCAUUUGUUUUUUUUUUAAGAUCCAAACGUCUGAAUCUGAAUACACGUCUGAAUGAUUAAGAUGUUGUCUCUGGAUUUGAAAAUUGAAUGAUUAAGACUGUUUGUUUUUCAACAUCUGAAUGUACAAGAAAAUUUAUUUGUAUAUAUACUAAAAUAAAAAAUACAAUUCAAAUAAAAAAUUAAUUAUAUAUCAGAACAGUAUGUAAUUUAAUACAACAAAAUUAUUAUUUAAUUGAAAAAAAUAUUUAUGUUUAUUAGUGAUAGUGGAGAUGGUUUAUAAUGGUGAUUGCGGUGACAAUGAUUGAUGUUAGUUAUUAGUAAUGUUAGUGGUUAUAGUUGUGAUGGUUGGUAUUGUAGUGACUGUUAUGAUGGUGGUGGUUGAUAGUGGUGGUGGUGGUUUUGAUGUGAAGUUGCUUGAUGUUAGUACUUGGAGGUGUUGAUUGUGAUGACUGAAAAAUGAAUGAAUGAUGGUUGAUGAUGUGUUGGUGCUAGUUGAAGAUAUUGUUAGUUGUGAUGGUGGAGAUAGGUUUUAGUAGAGAUAAAUUGUAGCGAUGAUAGUGAUUGAAGUGAUGGUCGAGGUGGCGUUACUAGUGACAAUGGUGGUGGCCGCCGAAGAAUGUGUGGAGGUUGUGAUGUAUUAGUGGUAGUUAGUGGUGGUGCUAGUUGUGAUAGAUGGGUUGGUCGAUAGUAGGGAUUGACCGGUAGUGGUUGUUGAUGGAGGUGUUGCUGACGACGAUGGUGAUGUGAAAUAUAAUUAGAAUAAUAGAAACAAUAGGUGUGAUAACGGUUGACAAUUGUGGUUGGUAGCGAUAUUUGUUGUCGAUGGUGGUUGUGAUGGUGGAGGUGGUUGUGGUGGUGGUGGGUGGUGGCAGAGGUGGUGACUGAUGAUUAUGAAUAGAUUGACAGUGAAUAUUAUUCAACACCAGAAUACCUAUUAAGACUUGAUUCUAGAUCUGAAUGAUUAAGACCUAUUCAGACCUAUUAAGAGCUAAAAUCUUAAUAAAAAACAAAUGCACUUAAUGGUCUGAAGUCUGAACUAUUCAGAUUCAGACCUCCAUUAAGUGCAAACAAAUGAGCCCUUAGCUCAUUUACACAACUAAAAGGAC
rnacentral:lncRNA from 1 species